rnacentral:rRNA from 1 species
GACAUAGGUGGCAAACGUUAUCCGGAAUCAUUGGGCGUAAAGGGUGCGCAGGUGGCCGUGCGCGUGGGGAGUGAAAUCGCCUGGCUUAACUGGGCGGGGGCUUUCCAGACGGCGCGGCUUGAGCCACAGAGGGGGGCGUGGAAUUCCGGGUGGAGCGGUGAAAUGCGUAGAGAUCCGGAGGAACACCGACGGCGUAGGCAGCGCCCUGGCUGUGAAUAAAGCUGACACUGAGGCACGAAAGCUGGGGGAGCAAACAGG